CGACCCCCAGAAGGCUGCGCGGCACGGUGUGACCUGCGCAGUGGCGUCCGUUCUAAGUGCUAUAACAACAGGGGGAAGAUGGCUCAGAGUUAGGCUGGAGAGGGGCGGUGUCCCUUCCGCCGCAGCCGCGGGGUUUCUGCUACAUCCCAUUCGCCACCUCCGCCAUCCUUUUUUCUGUGUGAGCAGAAGGGCUUGCAGUUGUUCUCUCCUGCCUAGUGUCUUCCAAGGGAUAGAUGCCAUUUCUUCUGCUGGUCUCUGGGGUCUGGAAUUUUGCCGCUUCUUGGUUGACAGAAUCCAAGGGUAUAUUGUCACAGAGAAGACUCCAGCCUGAUGUCUAUGGGACCUGAGUCCACACUGUGGAGGGCACAAGCUGU
rnacentral:lncRNA from 1 species